UUCGUAGGCGGUGCGGCAAGUCAGGAGUGAAAUCUCUGGGCUUAACUCAGAGGCUGCUUCUGAAACUGCUGUGCUUGAGUGUGGGAGAGGCGCGUGGAAUUGCAGGUGUAGCGGUGAAAUGCGUAGAUAUCUGCAGGAACACCCGUGGCGAAAGCGGCGCGCUGGACCACAACUGACGCUGAGGAACGAAAGCUAGGGGAGCAAACAGGAUUAGAUACCCUGGUAGUCCUAGCCCUAAACGAUCAGGACUUGGGGCGCCACCCGUUCGGGUGUCGUCCCGGAGCUAACGCGUUAAGUCCUGCACCUGGGGAGUACGGUCGCAAGACUGAA
rnacentral:rRNA from 1 species